rnacentral:lncRNA from 1 species
AGCUAUAGUCAUUUAAGAUUCAUGGAACAGCGUUUGAUGUUCAUUAGUUCGUUACUAUUAUAUCAGAAAUAAGAAUUAAAAAGUGCGGAUACGUAAAAGAAUGGAUUUUCUGCCCAAUACAUCCCGUUGCAUGCCCCGCUGCGCAAAACCGCCAGGAACAGCUGCUCCAUUCAUUAGGCUUAUUGAUGAAUAGAUUAUUCUACUGCAUCAGAACAAUAAUUGUUAAUAUUAUGUUGAAUAAAAUACGUUUGUUUAUAUUAAGAA